rnacentral:rRNA from 1 species
GCCAGCAGCAUACCACCCUGCAACCCACUGCUGGCUUGCUUCUGAAGCUAAGCAGGGUUGGUCCUGGUUAGUCCCUGGAUAGGAAACCAGAUGCUGCUGGAA